ACACACGCACGUACCGGCUGCUCCGCAGGGACGUAGAGAGCCGCAGGCCCAAGGAGGGGCCGCCCCCGCCGAGCCCGCCCCUCCGCCCCAGCGCGGCCUGUCACCGCGGCCCCAGGUCGGGGGCUGCCGCAGGGCCCCCGGGGACCGGAGGGGCGCGCGAGGAGUCGGGCGCGGGCCUUGGGGCCAGGCCCGUCCCUCUUUCACAUGAAGCCCGGGCCGGGCGGGGUGGCGGGCGCGUGAAUCCUCGCAGCCGGCCGGGUCCUCCUGGCGCUCCUCGGCACUUCUAGCCGCUGCAACCCCGAGGCCCGCGGGAACUGGGCAGGAAAGGAGGAAGCCGCGGGCCCGCGUCGCUAGAGACCGGAGAAGAGGCGGGAGUGGCGACUCUGCGGACAGGGGCGCCGAGCGUCCUGGUCGUUGUUUUCGUCGCCGCCGCGGGCCGUGCAACCCCCGAACGCUGCGCCCAGCGGCCGCGGCACCCUCGUCAGGCGCCGCCGCUGAGGGCAGGCAGCCCGGCAGCCACUACACACGGACCCGUGACGUCGGGCGUAGCGCGGCGCACGUCACGGCCGCUCGCUCGUGCGCGCGCACCCCUCCGCCCGGCGGUAGCGGAACCCGCCGCGGGCGCGCGCCCGGCCCAGGGGAGUGGGUCGGCGCCUGCGCAGAGGCCCGCCACGCCCACACACAGGCCACCGCCCCCACCGGCCGGACGGCGCGGGGAUUCCCAGUCCUGGCUCCGCCCCGGCCUCGGCCCCGCCCCCGCCCCUGCCCCGGGGCAGCCUGUGCUGUUCCGUGUGCGCGGCGCAUACGCACCUGGGUUGUCUCGAGCCUGCGGUAGUGGCCAGAUCCCAGACAUCCGAGUAGAUCCCGUGAAAAGGUCUCCCACGUGGGCUGUGGACAGGGCCCAAGGGUAGCAGAGCUAGCAGAGGCAGUGACGGACUGUGUGGCAGGUCAUUUGCAAGGAGAAAAGCCGUCUGCCUCUUAAUUUGUGGCUCAAGUUUCAGAAUUUUUUUCCUGAGGGACUUUAGAAAUUACUUCAGGCUUGCCACCUAACCUUAAACCACCCCCUUGGAGACUGGCUAAGUGUUAUUUGUGUUUUCUGUUUAGUUCUUAUCACCAUCGAUACUUGGUUAUGACUGGUUGUGUACAUUGGUUAGCCCAGCAAGUAUUACUUCUCCAGCUUAACAGAUGUGGAAACUUAAGCCCAGAGACAUGAGUUGACACCCCACCCCCAAAGCUAGAGUCUAAAACCCUUUCUUUCGCUCCUCAUCUCCCACAGGAUAAAAUGCAAAUUAAUCAGACUAGUGGUGAGGCCCUCCGUGGUGUGACUAACCUGCAUCCCGACGUUUUCACCCUACUUUGAUCCAGAAAGCACCUUUCCGCCCCAUCUCUUCUCCUUUCCUUAAAUACCCCUUACAACUUCCUGUACCAUUCUUCCCUGUUCAGCUUCUUCUUGGUUUCUUCGUACAUUCUGGAUCCACCCCUUUCAUGCAUAUUCCAGACCACAUUUCCACUGGAGCAGUUGAAAUGAGAGAGAUGGGAAUGGGACUCACCCGAACCAGAGGAAUUUUUAUUACAGACCCAUUAACAGAGGUGUCAAAGUCACAGGAACAAGGAUGUGCACCUCAGAAACACAGAGACCUUAAAUGCUCUGGGGGAUACGGACUGAAGAGGUGUUGAGAGGUAACUGCAUACCUCUCACUUCUCAGGAACUGCCAGUUCCCUGGGCAGAAUCAGGACCUGGGACAGACCUGCCUGCUGAUGAGAUGGCCCCACACCAUCUGCAGGCCAGAUUUGGUGCUGUGGACAAUGUCGGAGGGGACAGUCUACAGGACAGCCAACGGCUUUCAAAAAUUCUGAUAUGAUCAACUGGUGACACUACUCAGAAGACUGUGUUAAGAAUUCCGAAUUGGGGCCGGGCAAGGUGGCUCAUGCCUGUAAUCCCAGCACUUUGGGAGGCCAAAGCAGGUGGAUUGCUUGAGCCUAGGAGUUCGAGACCAGCCUGGGCAACAUGGAGAAACCCCAUCUCUAUUAAAAAUAGAAAAAUUAGCUGGGUAUGGUGGUGUGUGCCACUUAGGAGGCUGAGGUGGGAGGAUCACCUGAGCCUGGGAUUCAGAGGUUGCAGUGAGCUGAGAUCGCGCCACUGCACGCCAGCCCACAGAGUGAGACCCUUCCUCAAAAAAAAAAAAAAGAAGAAGAAGAAGAAAGAAAAGAAUUUGAAUUGGGUACUAGGCAUAGUACCUGGGUGAUGAAAUAAUCUGUACCACAAACCCCCAUGAUACAAGUUUACCUAUAUAACAAACCUGCACAUACACCGUGAACCUAAAACAAAAGUUUACCAAAAAAAAAAAAAAAAGAAAGAAAAGAAAAGAAAAAGAAAAAAAAUUUCAAGACCUAGAUCAGAAAUCAGCUCCUUGGCCAGGCAUACUGGCUCAUGCUUGAGCAAGGCAGGAGGAUUGCUUGAGCCCAGGAAUUUGAGACCAGCCUGGGCAAUACUGUGUGACUUCAUCUCAAAAAAAAAAAAAAAGGAAAAAAAAUUAUAUAUAAAAUAAAGCAUUCUGAGGCUUCAUCCACUCCUCACUCCUCAGAGAAGUACUGAAGCUAGCUAGAGAUUUCUGCAGGGUGUGGAAUGGGGAGAAAGGCAGCGUGACUGUGUGUCACAUUUGUUUCUGACACCUUUUUGUAGGUCUGAAAUGCUUUUAAAUAAACAUUUUUAAGUAAUAUAUACGUGACAAAAAUUCAAACAGCAGCAAAGUACAGUGAAAAGUCCUCCCUCAUCCCCAGUGCCCUCCCACCCCAGGUAAUCACAGUUACCAGGAUUCAAUGCACAUCCAAACACAAACAAACACAAACCAUGGUGUGUUUAUUGCCCAUGGAGGCUCUGUCUCAGGUCCCUGGGAAUCAUUGGGAGUUGUGGAUCCCAGCACUUUGGGAGGCUGAGGCAGGAGGAUCGCUUGAGCCCAGGAGUUUUUUGAGACCAGCUUGAACAACAUAGUGAGACCCCAUCUCUACAAAAAAUUAAAAAAUUAGCCAGGUGUGGCGGUCCAUGCCGGUAGUCCCAGCUACUUGGGAGGCUGAGGCAGGAUGAUCACUUGCACCUGGGACGUUGAGGCGGCAGUGAGCCGUGUUCGCGCCACUGCACUCCAGCCUGGGUGACACUGCAAGACCCUGUCUCAAAAAAAGUAGUCAAGGAGGCUGAGAGCCAGGAAGCCUCUGGCCAGCAGGUGAGCAGGCCCUUUCCUGCUGCUGUGCAUUGUAUUUAAGAGAAAAGACAGAUACGUCUGAUACCUUCAAAGGUGUUCUUCAUACAGCAGGUUGCAACCUAUUAAUAGAUCAUAAAAUCAGUUUAGUGUUUCAUCAUCAUCAUCAAAAACCACCACCAACAACAAAAAGACCCAGAACAGAUAGUGUAAAGAGUGCAUCCCUGCAUUCCUGUAUAGGGAGAAAUAUGGUUUUGUGGAACCUUGUUGCGAUGUAAAGUGUACUUCUUAAGAUAAAUACAGGGUUGAGGUUUUUGAAAUAAAGUUUGAACAGGACCACCUUAAGCCACAGUGUAGACUUUCCAUAGGCCAAAACCUGGAUCACCAAGACAGUGUGCCCCAGGCUGCAGGCCACACUCCUGGGAGCCUCAGGCAACCUUGUGCAGGCCUGACUUCGAGACACUCUGAGCAUGAGCUGGUUCCUGGGUAGCCUCCCCUCUACCUCUCCCCGCUUGCCCUCCCUCCCUCCUUCUGCUCCUGUCUCUCCUCAUCCCCUCCCCGAGUUGCUGCCUCCUCCUCCUCCUCCCCCACCACCUCUCCCCGUCUCCGAGUUGCCUGCCCCGCCCCCUCCUCUUCCCCCUGCCCCUCUCCGCGUCCUUCCCGCCUUCCCCC
rnacentral:lncRNA from 1 species